CAGACCGAGGCAAAUCAACGU
rnacentral:miRNA from 1 species